UAGGGAAUCUUCGGCAAUGGACGAAAGUCUGACCGAGCAACGCCGCGUGAGUGAAGAAGGUUUUCGGAUCGUAAAACUCUGUUGUUAGAGAAGAACAAGGACGUUAGUAACUGAACGUCCCCUGACGGUAUCUAACCAGAAAGCCACGGCUAACUACGUGCCAGCAGCCGCGGUAAUACGUAGGUGGCAAGCGUUGUCCGGAUUUAUUGGGCGUAAAGCGAGCGCAGGCGGUUUCUUAAGUCUGAUGUGAAAGCCCCCGGCUCAACCGGGGAGGGUCAUUGGAAACUGGGAGACUUGAGUGCAGAAGAGGAGAGUGGAAUUCCAUGUGUAGCGGUGAAAUGCGUAGAUAUAUGGAGGAACACCAGUGGCGAAGGCGGCUCUCUGGUCUGUAACUGACGCUGAGGGUCGAAAGCGUGGGGAGCAAACAGG
rnacentral:rRNA from 2 species